CACGAACCGUACGAACGUUAUUCGGAAUUACUGGGCUUAAAGGGUUUGUAGGCGGCCUUGUAAGUCAGGUGUGAAAGCCCUCGGCUCAACCGAGGAACAGCGCUUGAUACUGCAAGGCUUGAGGGAGACAGGGGUAAGCGGAACUGAUGGUGGAGCGGUGAAAUUCGUAGAUAUCGAGAGGAACACCGGUGGCGAAGGCGGCCUACUGGACCACAACUGACACUCAGGGACGAAAGCUAGGGGAGCGAAUGGG
rnacentral:rRNA from 1 species